UUUUUUUUUUUUUUUAAUUUCUGGGGAGAAAUGCUGAAUGUGAGCGUGUCAAGGCUAUCUUGAAUGGCAUUUUUACUUGAGAACUCUUGUAACAGCAUUGAGGUUGGCCAGGAAUUCAUAUCGGAAAAUGAGGAGGACAUUUGCUGCUCUUUGUCCAAGCAUGUCAGAGUAUAAGAUGGUUUGUUAAACGGUGGCUUGGCCUUUGAAUUCUCCUUUGGCCCCUUUCUCCUGCAAACAGUAACUUUUUAAAAUAAAUAGUGGGAAUAUUUUUAGUUUAUGGUAGUAGUAAUUUGAUAUUGACGAGUAUGUGCUUGUGUGUGCACUUCUGUUUGUGUGCUUCUUGCGGCAAAACAUCCUCCAGCUGUGGGCCUUCUCCUUCCCUGUAUGUAAAGACAGUAAAAAAAAAAAAAAAAAAAGCCAUGGGAAAAGGGUAAAGAGAGCAGCAAAAAGGAACAUUCUCUUUUGUGAAAAAGCCCGCCACUGGCUGGAGUUUUUUUUCCCCACUGACUGGAUUUUAAAGAAAAGUUGAUGGAUCUUUUUCUCUUGCCUAUAUGGAUAGAACAAAGCACUGAUCUUGAGGCAGAGGGGUCCUUCUCUAAGAUGGAAAUAAAUGUUGUCCUUUUGCUGGGGCUACUACCAGAAGAUGUGAUUUUCAUAUCUGAUUUUAAGAAAUGGUUGGUUAUAGGAAAAGAGGAGGGGAGCAAACAUCUGUCGUCUUACAGGUUAGUCUUUAAAUUAUACUGUUUUCAUUUUGUCAUGGGAUACCCGGCUUUUAAGUCACUACUGAAGUCUGGGAGGCUGGGGUUUUGCAUCUAUUUUUAUCCCUCACACUACCGUGGUUCAGAAUAAGGUUGCUGGUUUCCUUGCAGGGCUCCAGUCCACACUCAGCCCUGAACUGGGGAGUGGUGGUGUGUGUGGGGGGGGGUGGGGGGGGUGUCGAAUCAGCCUUCCCUUGAUUGGGAGGAAGAAAGGUGCUGUGGAGAGAAAUCCAGGCAAGAUCACUCAGGGGAAGGGGACAGCAGACGGUGGAAAGGCUGGACAUUCAACAAGCUGAGUGUCGAGGCAGAGUGAGCCUCAGAAACAGCAGCUGCCCCUGUGCCAGAGCUGAGGACAGAGCAGGGAGGCCGGGCAGGGCGGUGUCUCUGGGACAGAGCAGGGGCAAGGACAUGCAUAACGAGGCACAGGCUCUUAGCUGGCUCUCCAUGGCAGCAUGAGCAAGUAACUAGGGUACUGGGCGAUUGGCACAUCAGCCUAUCAGAAUUCAUGGGAGGUUAUUUCUUAAGUGAAAUUCUAAAGAGUUAAAGGAUGAAUUUGGACAGUGAUGGAAUGGAUGACAUCAUCAGUCAAGAAUCCCCAUUGGAUAUGGAGGGGAAUUAUAAAAAGGUAAGGGGUGGGGGAGAGCUCUUUUGUUUGUAAACAAUUGGACCAUUUUUCUAACUGGGAGAAAGAUCACCCUUGAAGAGUGGCCAAAUUCCACACUUAGUUGCCAUUGCCAUAACAUAUUCAGGAAAACUAAAUGCACAGAAGUAGAGGCAUUAAGUUAGAAAGGUUCUUCUUUCUGCUUUUCUUGGCUUGUACUCAUUAAUAUAUUAUAGCAGUAACUUGAAUACAUAUGUUGUUAUUCUGAAGUUGAAACAAUUCUAUCAUGCAUUUAGUUGCUAGGCAGUCUUUUUAUGUAAAAGAAUAAUUCAAAAAAAUUUUUGACAUAUAUUGCUAGUUUACCUGCAGUAAAUUAUUACUAGAAUGUUUAACCAGUCUUUUAAUUUUUUUUAAAUACAGAAUUUUAUUUAGAAACUGUUUAAAGUAGAAAAAAAACCCUGUCAAGAAAGACAAGGUGGAAAAUGGGUUCCUAAUAAAAUGGAAUUUUAGGGCAACAAAAGUCUAAAAGGCCACAAAAGAGAAAUAGCACCACUGUUAUUUGAACAAUGGCUAGUUACAUGCAUUUUUUGGUAACCAGUCUUUUAAGUUUGACUUCUUUAACAAUGAAAAAUAUAGUUUUACUAAGAGGAGGGUGAGUGGGAUUUUGAAAAAUCGAUAAUUAUCUGCUAAUACUUUGCUAGCCUUUUCUUUAGAAAGACCGUAAAUAUAUUUUUGGAAUGUUUUAUCUGGUAAUUGUUGGUAAUAACAGGCCCAAGUAAAAAUAGCUUUAGUUAUAUGGGUGAGGUCAUGAAAUUAAACUACAAGUAUAUGCUUGUCUGUCCACAGAAGGCUAAACUUAACACAGUAUGUCCUUCCCCCUUAUUGUCCACAAGUCAAGUGUAGGUCACAACACAGUACAGUGUGAAGAAUAAGGGUCCUUCCAUCAUGGACCUGGAGAAUAAGACCUCUUUGCCUUCAGAGGCAAAUAUGGGUAAAUACUGCCUCUUUGAGCAGCAAAAUUUGCUGCUCAAUUUUCAGUUUGAUCAACUAGGUCAUGAACUUUUUUCCCCCAGAGUAAGAUCUAGAAAGUUCUAUCAUGAUAGUUUCUUAAGUAUAAAAACAUGAAGUAUGGCAUUUUAUAUAUUAAAUACUAAAUUGUGUGUGAGUGUGGGGAUGUUUUAAGUAUGUACUUUAUUUCUUAGAGCAGUUGACAGUAGCUUAUACUCUUUUCUUCAGAACCCCAGACUUUAAAAGAGGUUUAAAUGACCUGCCAUGUUGCCCUAUGCAUUUUUCUUCCCCAGCGCUCCCCAAGAAGAGAACGAGUGCCUAAGGUAGUAAGUGUGCAGAAUACUAAAACUCUGACACCUCUCAGUUGCCCCCUCCUGCGAGAAGCAGGUGUGCAAAAGUGGCAGAGGACACUCAGCAAUCAUAGUGGGUCGCUUGCCAAGCCCUGUCAACCCGUUUCUCAUGUAGAAAAGUGUAGGUCAGUUUGCACUUAGGAAAAAUGAAAGACAUACCAUGGCCACUGCAGUAACAACAGAGUAAUGACCACUGUAGUUUUUUUCCCCUCCUUGGAAACUGAGAGAGCCCACAUGCCUGGAAUGAGCAAGCGAUGAUUUGCAGGCAACCUGAUACAGCACUGACUAAAAUGGCAAACAUGUGAGGCUCAAGUGGCUUUAAAACAUCACCAGCAACAAAACAGAGUUGCAUUGUGUAAUUCUUUAUCGAACUAAGGCAGCAAAAUGCCACCUGUGAUUUCAGGAGAAACAGUAUCUAAUAGGUUAGUACAAAAGACCACUAGAUGAAACUACUAGGUAUGUAGGAUACACAGAGAUCAAUCUGUAUUUUUCAGGCCCCUAAACAUGGGAACCAGCCUCUUGUCAUUUCAGCUUUUUAACUACUUUUCCCAAGCAAAGGGCUUGCAAACUAAGGUACAUGUUGGGUACUCUGAAGGCUUCAUUAUGUUAAAAAAAAAAAAAAAAAAAAAAAACA
rnacentral:lncRNA from 1 species